rnacentral:rRNA from 1 species
AGGUGGGGCAUCCUUUUCCAUGCAAGUCGAACGGCAGCGCGGGCUUCGGCCUGGCGGCGAGUGGCGAACGGGUGAGUAAUAUAUCGGAACGUACCCAGAAGUGGGGGAUAACGUAGCGAAAGUUACGCUAAUACCGCAUACGAUCUACGGAUGAAAGUGGGGGACCGCAAGGCCUCAUGCUUUUGGAGCGGCCGAUAUCUGAUUAGCUAGUUGGUGAGGUAAUGGCCCACCAAGGCGACGAUCAGUAGCUGGUCUGAGAGGACGACCAGCCACACUGGAACUGAGACACGGUCCAGACUCCUACGGGAGGCAGCAGUGGGGAAUUUUGGACAAUGGGGGCAACCCUGAUCCAGCAAUGCCGCGUGAGUGAAGAAGGCCUUCGGGUUGUAAAGCUCUUUUGUCAGGGAAGAAACGGCUGGGGCUAAUAUCCCCGGCUAAUGACGGUACCUGAAGAAUAAGCACCGGCUAACUACGUGCCAGCAGCCGCGGUAAUACGUAGGGUGCAAGCGUUAAUCGGAAUUACUGGGCGUAAAGCGUGCGCAGGCGGUUUCGUAAGUCUGAUGUGAAAUCCCCGGGCUUAACCUGGGAAUUGCAUUGGAGACUGCGAGGCUAGAAUCUGGCAGAGGGGGGUAGAAUUCCACGUGUAGCAGUGAAAUGCGUAGAGAUGUGGAGGAACACCGAUGGCGAAGGCAGCCCCCUGGGUCAAGAUUGACGCUCAUGCACGAAAGCGUGGGGAGCAAACAGGAUUAGAUACCCUGGUAGUCCACGCCCUAAACGAUGUCUACUAGUUGUCGGGUUUUAAUUAACUUGGUAACGCAGCUAACGCGUGAAGUAGACCGCCUGGGGAGUACGGUCGCAAGAUUAAAACUCAAAGGAAUUGACGGGGACCCGCACAAGCGGUGGAUGAUGUGGAUUAAUUCGAUGCAACGCGAAAAACCUUACCUACCCUUGACAUGUCAGGAAGUCCGGAGAGAUCUGGAUGUGCCCGAAAGGGAACCUGAACACAGGUGCUGCAUGGCUGUCGUCAGCUCGUGUCGUGAGAUGUUGGGUUAAGUCCCGCAACGAGCGCAACCCUUGUCAUUAGUUGCUACGAAAGGGCACUCUAAUGAGACUGCCGGUGACAAACCGGAGGAAGGUGGGGAUGACGUCAAGUCCUCAUGGCCCUUAUGGGUAGGGCUUCACACGUCAUACAAUGGUACAUACAGAGGGCCGCCAACCCGCGAGGGGGAGCUAAUCCCAGAAAGUGUAUCGUAGUCCGGAUCGUAGUCUGCAACUCGACUACGUGAAGUUGGAAUCGCUAGUAAUCGCGGAUCAGCAUGCCGCGGUGAAUACGUUCCCGGGUCUUGUACACACCGCCCGUCACACCAUGGGAGCGGGUUUUACCAGAAGUAGGUAGCUUAACCGUAAGGAGGGCGCUAUCACGGUAGAUUAUGG